AAGUGAGUGGAUCUUUGAACUCUGCCAUCUGGCUAGUGGAAUCUAUAUUUUCAUCGCCUCGGGUUACAGGUUAAUCCUGCCAGUUUUUAUUAUUUGUAGAAGUAGUUCGCCUCUCGGAAGCUUUUAUGGUCUCUGUCACAGAGAAGAUUGCUGCUGAGCAAAAUACAUGCACAAAAUACUGGGGUCAGUGGAGUGAGGACAUUGAGCAGGGAAGAAAAGAGAGAGAGAGGCAAAAAAAAAAAAAGCUAGUUCUGGCUAAUCUAAAAUUAUCCUUUUUAUUACCAGAGAAGACAUUGCAACAUGUGCUGGCAAAUUUGCCUCGCAUUGCAAGUCAGCACAGACAGGAAGGCUGAGCCUCCCUGCUCAUGGUGGAAGUCAAGCCCGAGCAUGCCCAGCAGCUGGGGAGCCCCACGUGAUGACAACAGCAUCCAGCUCCAUCUGGUGAUGUUCUCCCAGCCCCCCGGGCACUUUUCCAUCUAGUCUUGCAAGCAGCUGGAUCAAUUUACUCUAGCCUACGGUGCGCUGCACAGGCACAGACUGAAAUUAUUACUCAUGGAAAUCCCCUCUGUCUCAGUGCUUUGAACAAGGAAUCAGGUAGCUUUCAAGCUCCUGACAAUUAAUAGCCUUUGGUCGAGGGAGAACAGUGCAAACACGCUGGAAGCAAUAGGUUUCAAAACAGCUUGCUUAGUUUCUAGUAAAUUAAAGGGAGUGGGCGGUUGAGGUACACGGUAAUAUUAUCCAGCACAGUGUGGUCUUCACUGACGUCAGCAGGACAUUUUUUUUCCCUCUCUUUCUCUCUCUCUGCCUGUCUCCCAGAAAGAGACACAUGGAGGUUAACUCUGUGACAGAAGCAUGGCUCAUACCACCCGGAGAACCUCCAGUGUUCCAUCAACAAUGCCAGAGCGCAGAUGCUACUAUGUUGCAAAUGAGCAGCACCAAAUUACAUGCAAGUCAUUUCAGAGGAGAAAAAAGCUGUUGGAAACAGAAAUCAUGAGGACUUACAAGUUGCCUGCUGAGGUCCCUUUGACAACAGUGUCUUUCAGGAUUCAUUUGCACCUUUCAUCAGGACAUUUUGGAGAAAAAAUGGAAGGAAUUAAUAGCUAUCUGUAAUUACGCCUCAGAUUGGCAGUGCCUGGGGGUGAAUGGAGCUCAUAUCUCCAAGUUGCCAUUCCUGAGUUUUAGCCACCAACCUAUGCUGCCUUCUUUCUGCAAAUGGGUUGUUUUGGAUGCAGCAAUGAGGAAGAGUGCAUGAACUUCAGUCUCUAGUUAUGAUUUCAAACUCACAAAAAAAUCUGUGAAAUGGGGGAUUGGAAAGGAAAACAGCAAUUAACAGCUCCUGACUAGGACAUGAGCAAUGCCAGAAAACAUUCAGAAAAAUAACCCAUGGCAGUUGCUGAAAGGGGCCUAUCAAAUGGAUAAGAGGGAGUAGCAAACUAGAUGCUGGUGUAUAAAAUGAGAGGGUCUGAUUUUGACCUGCAGAGAGGUGAAGAACAUUGUAUCACAGAAGAGAAGGGAGAUGGCUUCUCUCUGCAGGGUGCUGCUGAGUCUGAGCCAUCCUCUGAACAGAGAAAGCAACUGCAGGCAUUCGUGUGUCAAGAAGACAUCAUAUUGUAAAGAAUUCAACAAUGAACAACAAUCAAAUAACUAAAGGGAAGAUUAAAUAACUAAAUAGUACAGUUUGGAUAAGUAAAUCCCUAAGAAGAAGAUAAAAUCAUUUGAAGGUGUCAACAUCAAGGAGAGAGUACUGUUUACACAGCUCUAGAUAAAGCGUAACAAGAAAGGAAAAUACCUUUUCCUGCAGAAAGGGAAAAUGCAGACUGGCAGUAAGAACUGCUAACCUGCUGCUGCUGACCUUCACAGCCCUUUCAACCCCCUACUAAAACCUCUGUUGGUGUAGAGGAUGUCAGGUGAGCACCCAGGAGUGCUCAGAGCCACUAUAGCAACAUCUUUCUGCAAAGCAGAAAGCUUUGCACAUGUCAUGUGUGCUGCACACCAGCAGGUAAGGGCCAGCAUUACCAUCCCUCUGCACCUC